rnacentral:misc_RNA from 1 species
AACGCACCUUGCGCCUCUUGGUAUUCCGAGAGGCAUGCCUGUUUGAGUGUCAUUAAAUUCUCAACCUUAUAAGCUUUUGUUUAUAAGGCUUGGAUGUGGAGGCUUUGCUGGCUUGUUAAGAGUCGGCUCCUCUUAAAUACAUUAGUGGAAACUGUUUGUAGUCCGCAUUGGUGUGAUAAUUAUCAGCGCUAUUGUGGCUACAAGCUCUUGUGGUGUUCGUGUGGGAAGUGCAUGAAUUGUGCUCUUUCUGUUUCGUCUGACCCACGAUGAGUAUAGUGUCUGCUUCAAACCGUCCUGUAUUUGACUAUUUUGACCUCAAAUCAGGUAGGACUACCCGCUGAACUUAA